rnacentral:rRNA from 1 species
CAUGGCGCAGUGAGGUGCGGGCAUAUAGACGAACCAGUGUGGAUGCUGGACCGUAGAGGGUGAGAGUCCCGUAGUCGAAAUGUGUUCCGCCGCUGUUGGAGGGUUGCCCGAGUAGCACGGGGCCCGAGGAAUCCCGUGUGAAUCUGCCAGGACCACCUGGUAAGCCUGAAUACUACCUGUUGACCGAUAGCGGAUCAGUACCGUGAGGGAAUGGUGAAAAGUACCCCGGGAGGGGAGUGAAAUAGUACCUGAAACCGUGCGCUUACAAUCCGUCAGAGCCUUCGAACACUUCGGUGUUGGGGGUGAUGGCGUGCCUUUUGAAGAAUGAGCCUGCGAGUUAGUGGCAUGUCGCGAGGUUAACCCGUGUGGGGUAGCCGUAGCGAAAGCGAGUCCGAAUAGGGCGAGUCAGUGGCAUGUUCUAGACCCGAAGCGGAGUGAUCUACCCAUGGCCAGGGUGAAGCGACGGUAAGACGUCGUGGAGGCCCGAACCCACUUAGGUUAAAAACUGAGGGGAUGAGUUGUGGGUAGGGGUGAAAGGCCAAUCAAACUCCGUGAUAGCUGGUUCUCCCCGAAAUGCAUUUAGGUGCAGCGUCGCGUGUUUCUCACCGGAGGUAGAGCUACUGGAUGGUCUAGGGGGCCCACAAGCUUACCGAAAUCAGCCAAACUCCGAAUGCCGGUGAGUGAGAGCGCGGCAGUGAGACUGCGGGGGAUAAGCUUCGUAGUCGAGAGGGAAACAGCCCAGAUCGCCGGCUAAGGCCCCUAAGCGUGUACUAAGUGGAAAAGGAUGUGGGAUCGCUGAGACAACCAGGAGGUUGGCUUAGAAGCAGCCACCCUUGAAAGAGUGCGUAAUAGCUCACUGGUCAAGUGGUCCUGCGCCGACAAUGUAGCGGGGCUCAAGUACACCGCCGAAGCCGCGGCAUUCACAUAACACCCCGGAAGGGUUACGGCUUUUCCGGCAGUGGUGUGGAUGGGUAGGGGAGCGUCGUGUGGCCGUAGAAGCGCCGGAGUGAUCCAGGUGUGGAGGCCACGCGAGUGAGAAUGCAGGCAUGAGUAGCGAAAGACGAGUGAGAAACUCGUCCGCCGGAUGACCAAGGGUUCCUGGGCCAGGUUAAUCCGCCCAGGGUGAGUCGGGACCUAAGGCGAGGCCGACAGGCGUAGUCGAUGGACAACGGGUUGAUAUUCCCGUACCCGUGUAUCCGCGCCCAAUGGCGAAUCAGUUGUGCUAACCGUCCAAAAGUCUCCGGUGUUCCUUCGGGAACUGUGGGGAUGGCUGCACGGGACCCUGAUUGUAGUAGUCAAGCGAUGGGGUGACGCAGGAAGGUAGCUGGGCCAGGUGAUGGAAUACCUGGUGUAAGCCGGUAGGGCGAAUGGUAGGCAAAUCCGCCAUUCAUCAAGCCUGAGAGGUGAUGCGUACCCGUUGAGGGGAAUUCAGUGAUCCUAUGCUGCCGAGAAAAGCCUCUAGUGAGUUGGUACACGGCCCGUACCCCAAACCGACACAGGUGGUCAGGUAGAGAAUACCAAGGCGCUUGAGAGAACUCGGGUGAAGGAACUAGGCAAAAUGGUGCCGUAACUUCGGGAGAAGGCACGCUGAUAUGUAGGUGAGGUCCCUCGCGGAUGGAGCUGAAAUCAGUCGAAGAUACCAGCUGGCUGCAACUGUUUAUUAAAAACACAGCACUGUGCAAACACGAAAGUGGACGUAUACGGUGUGACGCCUGCCCGGUGCCGGAAGGUUAAUUGAUGGGGUUAGCGCAAGCGAAGCUCUUGAUCGAAGCCCCGGUAAACGGCGGCCGUAACAAUAACGGUCCUAAGGUAGCGAAAUUCCUUGUCGGGUAAGUUCCGACCUGCACGAAUGGCGU